GACAGAGGUCCCGAGCGUUGUUCGGAAUUACUGGGCGUAAAGGGCGUGUAGGUGGCCAACUAAGUCCGACGUGAAAUCCCCAGCUUAACCUGGGAACUGCGUCGGAUACUAGAUGGCUUGAAUUCGGGAGAGGGAUGCAGAAUUCCAGGUGUAGCGGUGAAAUGGCAGUGAGAUAUCUGGAGGAAUACCGGUGGCGAAGGCGGCAUUCUGGACCGACAUUGAGCACUAAAGCGCGAAAGCCAGGGGAGCAAACGGG
rnacentral:rRNA from 1 species